rnacentral:rRNA from 1 species
GAGUUUGAUCCUGGCUCAGGAUGAACGCUGGCGGCAUGCCUAACACAUGCAAGUCGAACGGGGUUUAUAUAACAGAACUCUUCGGAGGGAAGAUAUAUAAACCUAGUGGCGGACGGGUGAGUAACGCGUGGGCAACCUGCCCUGUACCGGGGACAACAGCCAGAAAUGGCUGCUAAUACCGCAUAAGCCUGCGGUGCCGCAUGGCACAGCAGGGAAAACCACGGUGGUACAGGAUGGGCCCGCGUCUGAUUAGUUAGUUGGCAGGGUAACGGCCUACCAAGACGAUGAUCAGUAGCCGGCUUGAGAGAGUGGACGGCCACAUUGGGACUGAGACACGGCCCAGACUCCUGCGGGAGGCAGCAGUGGGGAAUAUUGCACAAUGGGGGGAACCCUGAUGCAGCAAUGCCGCGUGGGUGAAGAAGCACUCCGGUGCGUAAAGCCCUGUCAGCAGGGAAGAAAAUGACAGUACCUGACCAAGAAGCCCCGGCUAACUACGUGCCAGCCGCCGC